ACUUAAAUUGAAGAGUUUGAUCAUGGCUCAGAUUGAACGCUGGCGGCAGGCCUAACACAUGCAAGUCGAGCGGUAGCACAGAGAGCUUGCUCUCGGGUGACGAGCGGCGGACGGGUGAGUAAUGUCUGGGAAACUGCC
rnacentral:rRNA from 3 species